AUGGAGUGAUCAGAGCCAGAGUCUGUAAGUCAAUAGACUCUGGUUUAUACCACACCAGAGAGCAACAGGAGGGUGCACCCAGACCACCACAGCAGAGUGGUCUGGACCAGCACUGACUCCUAACAUGU